rnacentral:rRNA from 1 species
UGGCGAACGGGGUGAGUAACACGUGGGCAACCUGCCCAAAAGAGGGGGAUAACACUUGGAAACAGGUGCUAAUACCGCAUAACCAUAGUUACCGCAUGGUAACUAUGUAAAAGGUGGCUAUACUACCGCUUUUGGAUGGGCCCGCGGCGCAUUAGCUAGUUGGUAGGGUAAAGGCUUACCAAGGCAAUGAUGCGUAGCCGAAUUGAGAGGUUGAUCGGCCACAUUGGGACUGAGACACGGCCCAAACUCCUACGGAAGGCAGCAG